rnacentral:rRNA from 1 species
UAGUCCACGCCGUAAACGAUGAUCACUCGAUAUUGGCGAUAUACAGUCAGUGUCCAAGCGAAAGCGAUAAGUGAUCCACCUGGGGAGUACGCUCGCGAGAGUGAAACUCAAAGGAAUUGACGGGGGCCCGCACAAGCGGUGGAGCAUGUGGUUUAAUUCGAUGAUACGCGAGGAACCUUACCAGGGCUUAAAUGCAUAACGAUCGGCAUGGAAACAUGCUUUUCUUCGGACGGAAUGCAAGGUGCUGCAUGGUUGUCGUCAGCUCGUGCCGUGAGGUGUCGGGUUAAGUCCCGCAACGAGCGCAACCCCUAUUUCUAGUUGCCAGCACGUAAUGGUGGGGACUCUAGGAAGACUGCCGGCGUAAGCCGAGAGGAAGGUGGGGACGACGUCAAGUCAUCAUGGCCUUUAUGCCCAGGGCUACACACGUGCUACAAUGGUGCAUACAGAGGGUAGCGAAGCCGCGAGGUGGAGCCAAUCCCAGAAAGUGCAU